CUGAGGUGAAUGAGAAAGGCAGCAGUUAAAAUCAGAGCGCAAGCACGACUCGCAACGUGAAAAGUUAUUAUUCAUACAAAGAUGCUGCCAGGCCUGCUGUGUUCUUCCUGUUUGUCUACCUUGGAUUCCAGCAUCUGCAGUUGUUUCGUCUCUCACUCUGUUCCACGUCAAGUUAGUAUCAGCAGCAAAUGCUUGCCAGUGACACCCACAUCCCACAAAAGAAUACAAAAUAAAUAGUCGCGAGAUCAAA